rfam:Danio rerio chromosome 17, GRCz11 reference primary assembly.
AUACACAGCCAUAUCACCCUGCACACUAACACCGGUUGCUCACUGAAGCUAAGCAGGGCUGUGCCCGGUCAGUACCUGGAUUGGAGACCACAUGGGAAAACUAGGUUGCUGUUGGAA